rnacentral:rRNA from 1 species
AUGGUCCAGAUUGUGGGGGGUGGAUGUGAGCACACACUUGCUGGCUUCUUUGCACAAAACUCCCUCACUUCUACUUAUUUACCUCUCGUACCGAUAGCACCAGGCCAGCAGCUCACGCCCAAAUUCCCCAACCCUAGCUUGCGUACAAGCCGCCUCCUGGACCAAUCCUCUGGUCCAUCUUCCUCCGGCUUGCCGACGGUGGCGGCGAUCCAGAUCCGGUGCCUAGCUGGGCGAGUAUGCCUAGCGGAGGUCCCGUUCCAGCUUCUGUUCGUCUCAUCGCCGGCGGUCUGGCUGCCCCGGCGGACCUCGCUCUGUCCUAAGAGAACAAGAACUGGAUGGUACUCUUCUCUGGCGACCAGAGGUCGACCUCGCCCCAUUCUUUUUUCUACCUCAACCCGCCAUUCUCCACAUGUCGCCACCCACCCCGCCGACGUCGGAGAAGAAAACUCCAAUCUGAAGGACACAAUUUCUGUUCUAAGUAUGAUGGAUACAUCGGAGCUUGUCGACUAG